rnacentral:rRNA from 1 species
UACGGAGGGUGCGAGCGUUGUCCGGAAUCACUGGGCGUAAAGGGCGCGUAGGUGGCCUGUGGAAGUCUGCGGUGAAAGCCCGGCGCUCAACGCCGGGUCGGCCGUGGAUACUCUCGGGCUCGAGCUUACUAGAGGCAGAUGGAAUUCCGGGUGUAGCGGUGGAAUGCGUAGAGAUCCGGAAGAACACCGGUGGCGAAGGCGGUCUGCUGGGGUAAUGCUGACACUGAUGCGCGACAGCAUGGGGAGCAAACAGG